UGACUUUGAUCCUGGCUCAGGACGAACGCUGGCGGCGCGCCUAACACAUGCAAGUCGAACGGAGCUUAGAGAGCUUGCUUUUUAAGCUUAGUGGCGAACGGGUGAGUAACGCGUGAGUAACCUGCCCUAGAGUGGGGGACAACAGUUGGAAACGACUGCUAAUACCGCAUAAGCCCACGGUACCGCAUGGUACUGAGGGAAAAGGAUUUAUUCGCUUUAGGAUGGACUCGCGUCCAAUUAGCUAGUUGGUGAGGUAACGGCCCACCAAGGCGACGAUUGGUAGUCGGACUGAGAGGUUGAACGGCCACAUUGGGACUGAGACACGGCCCAGACUCCUACGGGAGGCAGCAGUGGGGGAUAUUGCACAAUGGGGGAAACCCUGAUGCAGCGACGCCGCGUGGAGGAAGAAGGUUUUCGGAUUGUAAACUCCUGUCGUUAGGGACGAUAAUGACGGUACCUAACAAGAAAGCACCGGCUAACUACGUGCCAGCAGCCGCGGUAAAACGUAGGGUGCAAGCGUUGUCCGGAAUUACUGGGUGUAAAGGGAGCGCAGGCGGGAAGACAAGUUGGAAGUGAAAACCAUGGGCUCAACCCAUGAAUUGCUUUCAAAACUGUUUUUCUUGAGUAGUGCAGAGGUAGAUGGAAUUCCCGGUGUAGCGGUGGAAUGCGUAGAUAUCGGGAGGAACACCAGUGGCGAAGGCGGUCUACUGGGCACCAACUGACGCUGAGGCUCGAAAGCAUGGGUAGCAAACAGGAUUAGAUACCCUGGUAGUCCAUGCCGUAAACGAUGAUUACUAGGUGUUGGGGGAUUGACCCCCUCAGUGCCGCAGUUAACACAAUAAGUAAUCCACCUGGGGAGUACGACCGCAAGGUUGCAACUCAAAGGAAUUGACGGA
rnacentral:rRNA from 1 species